UCGGCUUCAUCGAUUAUGACC
rnacentral:miRNA from 1 species